GCGUCGGUAGUGCAACAGAUGGCUUACGCUCCCGGAAAGAGUGAGAUCUGGGUUCGAAUCCCAGCUGAGGCA